rnacentral:siRNA from 1 species
CAUUCAGGCCGGUGGAGCUUCCA